rnacentral:rRNA from 1 species
GCCUACGGGGCGCAGCAGUGAGGAAUAUUGGUCAAUGGCCGGGAGGCUGAACCAGCCAAGUCGCGUGAGGGAAGACGGCCCUACGGGUUGUAAACCUCUUUUGUCAGGGAGCAAGGGGCGGGUCGAGACCUGCUGCGAGAGUACCUGAAGAAAAAGCAUCGGCUAACUCCGUGCCAGCAGCCGCGGUAAUACGUAGGUGGCAAGCGUUGUCCGGAUUUAUUGGGCGUAAAGCGAGUGCAGGCGGUUCAAUAAGUCUGAUGUGAAAACCUUCGGCUC